UACGAAGGGGGCUAGCGUUGCUCGGAAUCACUGGGCGUAAAGCGCACGUAGGCGGAUUGUUAAGUCAGGGGUGAAAUCCUGGAGCUCAACUCCAGAACUGCCUUUGAUACUGGCGAUCUUGAGUCCGGGAGAGGUGAGUGGAACUGCGAGUGUAGAGGUGAAAUUCGUAGAUAUUCGCAAGAACACCAGUGGCGAAGGCGGACUCACUGGCCUGGUACUGACGCUGAGGUGCGAAAGCGUGGGGAGCAAACAGG
rnacentral:rRNA from 1 species